AUUGAACGCUGGCGGAAUGCUUUACACAUGCAAGUCGAACGGCAGCACGGGGGCAACCCUGGUGGCGAGUGGCGAACGGGUGAGUAAUACAUCGGAACGUGCCCAGUCGUGGGGGAUAACUACGCGAAAGCGUAGCUAAUACCGCAUACGAACUGAGGUUGAAAGCGGGGGACCGUAAGGCCUCGCGCGAUUGGAGCGGCCGAUGGCAGAUUAGGUAGUUGGUGGGUAAAGGCCUACCAAGCCGACGAUCUGUAGCUGGUCUGAGAGGACGACCAGCCACACUGGGACUGAGACACGGCCCAGACUCCUACGGGAGGCAGCAGUGGGGAAUUUUGGACAAUGGCGCAAGACCUGAUCCAGCCAUUCCGCGUGCAGGAUGAAGGCCCU
rnacentral:rRNA from 1 species